rnacentral:rRNA from 1 species
GUGCCAGCCGCCGCGGUAAUACCGGCAGCUCAAGUGAUGGCCACUCUUAUUGGGCCUAAAGCGUCCGUAGCUGGCUGCGCAAGUCCGUCGGGAAAUCCACUCGCCCAACGAGUGGGCGUCCGACGGAAACUGCACAGCUUGGGACCGGAAGGCUCGAAGGGUACGUUCGGGGUAGGAGUGAAAUCCCAUAAUCCCGCACGGACCACCGAUGGCGAAAGCACUUCGAGAAAACGGAUCCGACAGUGAGGGACGAAAGCCAGGGUCUCCAACCGGAUUAGAUACCCGGGUAGUCC